UGAAGACUGACUGGACCAUUCAGAAGCCUCUAAACUUCAGCAGUGGAGGAGGAAGCUCUGAAUUAUGCAGGAUGAAAACCCAGAGGUCUGUUUCUCCAGUAACCAGCUGUAUGUCCAUGAAGAGUGAAGACCAGUUCCGUAUUUUGACUCCACUACAACAGAGUGUCAGACUGCACAAACCCAGAAAAGAACCUCCAGGGCCCAGCUGGGUGUCAAUGAAGAGCCACAACUCAAUGUAUGUUCCUCCAACCUUCAGUAAUAGAGCAGAACCCAGCUG